UACGGAGGGUGCAAGCGUUAAUCGGAAUUACUGGGCGUAAAGCGCGCGUAGGCGGUUUGAUUAGUCAGAUGUGAAAUCCCCGGGCUCAACCUGGGAACUGCAUUUGAUACUGUCAGACUAGAGUAUGUUAGAGGAAUGCGGAAUUCCGGGUGUAGCGGUGAAAUGCGUAGAUAUCCGGAGGAACAUCAGUGGCGAAGGCGGCAUUCUGGGAUAAUACUGACGCUGAGGUGCGAAAGCGUGGGGAGCAAACAGG
rnacentral:rRNA from 1 species